rnacentral:rRNA from 1 species
AUGAGCACCGGCGGCGCGGACAAGUCCGGCACCGGCGGCGGCGGAGCUGGUGGGCCGGUGAAGACGCCGUCAGACUUCCUCAAGUCGAUCAGGGGCCGCCCCGUCGUCGUUAAACUCAACUCAGGCGUCGACUACCGAGGUAUUCUGGCUUGUCUGGAUGGCUAUAUGAACAUCGCGAUGGAGCAAACCGAAGAGUACGUGAACGGCCAACUGAAGAACAAAUAUGGCGACGCCUUCAUAAGAGGCAACAACGUCCUAUACAUCAGCACGUCAAAGCGGCCCCUCACCGACGGAGCAUAG